CACAGCUGCUAAACCAGUGCCUAGAGUACAGCUGCUGAACCAGUAAUAAUGGCAGAGGGCCAAUAAGUAGACUUUCAACAAGACAAGCGUCCUGUGGACAGGUGAUUCUUACAUCCAGGAACUGAGUGUCCCUAUGCCGCCUUUACUUAACUGCCAUCACCACCAUUGAACUGCAAAGCUGGGCUUCUCCUCUUUUGAAAAAGCAGCCAAACCAGAAGGCAUCUCUCCACAUCCACCACUACAGAAUUUCAAAAGAAAGACAAAGAGGAGG